UACGUAGGGUGCGAGCGUUGUCCGGAAUCAUUGGGCGUAAAGAGCGUGUAGGCGGCCAGAUAAGUCCGCUGUGAAAUCUCGAGGCUCAACUUCGAGCUGUCGGUGGAAACUGUCUGGCUAGAGUCCGGAAGAGGAGAAUGGAAUUCCCGGUGUAGCGGUGAAAUGCGCAGAUAUCGGGAAGAACACCCGUGGCGAAGGCGGCUCUCUGGGACGGUACUGACGCUGAGACGCGAAAGCGUGGGGAGCGAACGAGG
rnacentral:rRNA from 1 species